rnacentral:piRNA from 1 species
UUUUUUCUUACCAAGAAAUUA